UGGGCCUUAGCUCAGUUGGGUAGAGCAGCGGACCCCGUGUUCGUCGGUCGGAGGUUCGACCCCUCCAGGCCCAU
rnacentral:tRNA from 1 species